rnacentral:rRNA from 1 species
GACGAACGCUGGCGGCGUGCUUAACACAUGCAAGUCGAACGGAAAGGCCCUGCUUUUGGGGGGUGCGCGAGUGGCGAACGGGUGAGUAACACGUGAGUAACCUGCCCUUGACUUUGGGAUAACUUCAGGAAACUGGGGCUAAUACCGGAUAGGAGCUCCUGCUGCAUGGUGGGGGUUGGAAAGUUUCGGCGGUUGGGGAUGGACUCGCGGCUUAUCAGCUUGUUGGUGGGGUAGUGGCUUACCAAGGCUUUGACGGAUAGCCGGCCUGAGAGGGUGACCGGCCACAUUGGGACGGAGAUACGGCCCAGACUCCUACGGGAGGCAGCAGUGGGGAAUAUUGCACAAUGGGCGGAAGCCUGAUGCAGCAACGCCGCGUGCGGGAUGACGGCCUUCGGGUUGUAAACCGCUUUCGCCUGUGACGAAGCGUGAGUGACGGUAAUGGGUAAAGAAGCACCGGCUAACUACGUG